UCUGAUCCUUAUUCUCCAAAUUCACAAGAACAACUUCCCUUAGCCCCAAAACAAAAAUCAAGAUCCCUCAAAAUUCAACCGUAGAAAUUCAAAAAUAAUUUAAGAGUUGGGAUCCCCAUUACAAGAGCUACAAGGAGCGCCUAUCAAUUUUGCAAAUAGAGUUUCCUAUUCAAAAGUUCAUUAAUACUCAUAAAUUUGAGGCUCAGGUGCUCAGUUCCAGCAGCGUCAGUGAUUUCUGAGCACUUUUAUCUACACUCCUGCAGUGGUGAGUCCUCAUGGUUCGUGGACCAGAUUUCCAGAUGUUCUGUAACAUCAGUUGUUGUAUUUAUCUUAUUCUAUUUGAGUAUGAUUCAGUUGGGGUCUGUCCCAGUGGCUUCCUAUUCUUGAGUUGUAGAGGUUUGUCAGACUAGACUGUUAUUUGUAUUUCUCGAUUUCUCUGUAUCUUGAGACUUGGACAUUAUAUUUACAGCGUGGAUUGAUGAGAGUGAAACUUA